GAGUGCAGGUGGAUGUCUCUGGAUCAGGUGGAUGUCUCUGGAUCAGGUGGAUGUCUCUGGGUGCAGGUGGAUGGCCCUGGAUCAGGUGGAUGGCCCUGGAUCAGGUGGAUGGCUCUGGGUGCAGGUGGAUGGCCCUGGAUCAGGUGGAUGGCUCUGGAUCAGGUGGAUGGCCCUGGGUGCAGGUGGAUGGCCCUGGAUCAGGUGGAUGGCUCUGGAUCCAGUGGAUAUCUCUGGGUGCAGGUGGAUGUCUCUGGAUCAGGUGGAUGGCCCUGGAUCAGGUGGAUGGCCCUGGAU
rnacentral:lncRNA from 13 species